UAGGGAAUAUUGCUCAAUGGGGGAAACCCUGAAGCAGCAACGCCGCGUGGAGGAUGAAGGUUUUAGGAUUGUAAACUCCUUUUGUUAGAGAAGAUAAUGACGGUAUCUAACGAAUAAGCACCGGCUAACUCCGUGCCAGCAGCCGCGGUAAUACGGAGGGUGCAAGCGUUACUCGGAAUCACUGGGCGUAAAGAGCGCGUAGGCGGGAUAGUCAGUCAGGUGUGAAAUCCUAUGGCUUAACCAUAGAACUGCAUUUGAAACUACUAUUCUAGAGUGUGGGAGAGGUAGGUGGAAUUCUUGGUGUAGGGGUAAAAUCCGUAGAGAUCAAGAGGAAUACUCAUUGCGAAGGCGACCUGCUGGAACAUUACUGACGCUGAUUGCGCGAAAGCGUGGGGAGCAAACA
rnacentral:rRNA from 1 species